rnacentral:rRNA from 1 species
AUGAAUGGUGUGUUGACAAAAGGUGGAAAGAGAUAUUUCAUGACUUUGAUUGAUGAUGCGACUAGAUUUUGCUAUGUUUAUUUGUUGCAAACUAAAGAUGAAGCAUUAGACUACUUUAAAAUCUAUAAAGCUAAAGUUGAAAAUCAACUAGAGAGAAAGAUCAAGCGUCUUAGGUCCGAUCGUGGUGGAGAGUAUUUUCCAAAAGUUUUUGAUGAAUUUUGUGAGGAACAUGGUAUUAUUCAUGAGAGGACGCCUCUCUAUUCACCUCAAUCAAAUGGAGUGGCCGAGAGGAAAAACCGCACAUUGACUGACUUGGUGAAUGCCAUGUUAGACACUGCUGGUUUAUCUAAGGCAUGGUGGGGGGAGGCUCUAUUGACUUCAUGUCAUGUCCUGAAUAGAGUUCCCAACAAUAAUAAAGAGAAAACCCCUUAUGAGGAGUGGGUUGGGAGAAAACCAUCACUUUCUUAUUUGCGCACUUGGGGAUGUUUGGCAAAGGUCAAUAUUCCUAUUACUAAGAAACGCAAACUUGGACCAAAGACAGUGGAUUGUGUCUUUCUAGGGUAUGCUCAACGGAGCAUUGCUUAUAGGUUUUUAGUGGUAAAAUCUGAAAAGGAUAACAAUGAAGUUCCUAGAAGGAACAAGAGACAAAGGAUUGCAAAAUCCUUUGGUGAAGAUUUCAUUGUAUACCUUGUGGAUGACACACCCAAGACGAUUGCAGAAGCAUAUGCAUCUCCGGAUGUAGAUGAUUGGAAAGAAGCUGUUCAUAAUGAGAUGGACUCAAUUCUUUCUAAUGGAACUUGGGAACUUACUGAUAGACCAUAUGGUUGUAAACCUGUGGGCUGUAAGUGGGUGUUCAAAAAGAAGCUAAAGCCUGAUGGUACUAUUGAUAAGUACAAGGCGCGGCUAGUGGCCAAGGGCUACACUCAGAAAGAAGGCGAAGAUUACUUUGACACCUAUUCACCCGUUGCUAGAAUGACCACCAUUCGAGUGUUACUUUCCUUGGCUGCCUCUUAUGGUCUUAUCAUUCAUCAAAUGGAUGUAAAGACAGCUUUUCUCAAUGGAGAGUUGGAAGAGGAGAUCUAUAUGGAUCAGCCUGACGGGUUUGUGGUAAAGGGUGAAGAGAGAAAGGUGUGCAAGUUGUUAAAAUCUUUGUAUGGUCUGAAACAGACACCUAAGCAAUGGCAUGAGAAGUUUGAAAGAACUUUGACUUCUGCAGGAUUUGUCAUUAACGAGGCUGAUAGGUGUGUUUACUAUCGCCAUGGUGGGGGCAAUUGUGUCAUAUUAUGUUUGUAUGUGGACGACAUACUGAUCUUUGGUACAAACAUUAAUGCAAUUAAUGAGAUCAAGUCUUUUCUAUCAAAAAGUUUUGACAUGAAAGAUCUGGGAGAAGCCAAUGUAAUUCUAAACAUCAAACUUAUUAAGGAUGAGAGUGGGAUUACAUUAACGCAAUCUCACUAUGUUGAGAAGGUCUUGAACCGAUUCAGUUUUAUGGAUAGCAAGCCUUCUCCAACACCUUAUGAUCCCAGCGUGACACUCAGAAAGAACAAGAAAGAAACGAGAGAUCAAUUAAGAUACUCUCAAAUUGUCGGUUCACUCAUGUAUUUAGCUAGCGCUACAAGACCAGAUAUCUCUUUUGCUGUGAGCAAACUGAGUAGGUUCAUGUCCAACCCGGGUGAUGAUCAUUGGCAUGCACUAGAAAGGGUCUUGCGCUAUCUGAGAGGUACUAUGAGUUACGGAAUUACUUAUUCAGGGCAUCCUGCUGUGCUAGAAGGAUAUAGUGAUUCAAAUUGGAUCUCCGAUGUUGAUGUACUUUACGCAACAAGUGGGUAUGUAUUUACUCAUGGUGGUGGCGCAGUGUCAUGGAGGUCUUGCAAGCAAACCAUAUUGACGAGGUCAACUAUGGAAGCAGAAUUAACUGCUUUGGACACAGCUAUUGUUGAGGCAGAAUGGCUGCGUGAGCUCUUGAUGGACUUGCCGGUUGUUGAAAAACCUGUACCGGCUAUUCUUAUGAAUUGUGAUAACCAAACACGUGAAAAGACGUUUGAAGUCUGUCAGGAAGUUGAGAAACUCCGGAGUAAUAACUGUUGCCUAUAUACAAACAGACAAAAACCUGGCAGAUCCCUUUACAAAGGGACUAUCACGAAAUGUGAUAGAUAUUGCAUCGAGGGAGAUGGGUAUGAGACCCAUAGAUGUUACACCAUAGUAGUAACCCAACCUUUGUGA